rnacentral:rRNA from 1 species
UCAAAGGAAUUGACGGGGACCCGCACAAGCGGUGGAUGAUGUGGAUUAAUUCGAUGCAACGCGAAAAACCUUACCUACCCUUGACAUGGAUGGAACCUUGGAGAGAUCUGAGGGUGCUCGAAAGAGAGCCAUCACACAGGUGCUGCAUGGCUGUCGUCAGCUCGUGUCGUGAGAUGUUGGGUUAAGUCCCGCAACGAGCGCAACCCUUGUCAUUAGUUGCUACGCAAGAGCACUCUAAUGAGACUGCCGGUGACA